CCUAACACCUAGAAAGCAGAGGA
rnacentral:piRNA from 1 species